rnacentral:rRNA from 1 species
GUCUACAGCCAUGCUACCCUGAAUAAGUCUGAUCCCGUCUGAUCUCAAAAGCUAAGCAGGAUUGGGCCUGGUUAGUACUUGGAUGGGAGACCACUGAGGAAGACCAGGUGCUGUAGGCA